UGAGAGUUGCCUUGGUUAUAGUGACUGUUU
rnacentral:piRNA from 1 species